GCCUUAGAAGUUCUUAAUGUUCUAUUCAAAUACAGCCAUGUUUGAACACGAUGUUCAAACAAACCGCCACUGAGCCAUGGAUGGCGAAUUGGCGGUGGUGGCGUACGGAUAUAAUAUGUAAAUUUGAACAUUUAGAACUUCUUAGGCU
rnacentral:ncRNA from 1 species